rnacentral:rRNA from 1 species
GUCGAGCGGACAGAUGGGAGCUUGCUCCCUGAUGUUAGCGGCGGACGGGUGAGUAACACGUGGGUAACCUGCCUGUAAGACUGGGAUAACUCCGGGAAACCGGGGCUAAUACCGGAUGCUUGUUUGAACCGCAUGGUUCAAACAUAAAAGGUGGCUUCGGCUACCACUUACAGAUGGACCCGCGGCGCAUUAGCUAGUUGGUGAGGUAAUGGCUCACCAAGGCAACGAUGCGUAGCCGACCUGAGAGGGUGAUCGGCCACACUGGGACUGAGACACGGCCCAGACUCCUACGGGAGGCAGCAGUAGGGAAUCUUCCGCAAUGGACGAAAGUCUGACGGAGCAACGCCGCGUGAGUGAUGAAGGUUUUCGGAUCGUAAAGCUCUGUUGUUAGGGAAGAACAAGUACCGUUCGAAUAGGGCGGUACCUUGACGGUACCUAACCAGAAAGCCACGGCUAACUACGUGCCAGCAGCCGCGGUAAUACGUAGGUGGCAAGCGUUGUCCGGAAUUAUUGGGCGUAAAGGGCUCGCAGGCGGUUUCUUAAGUCUGAUGUGAAAGCCCCCGGCUCAACCGGGGAGGGUCAUUGGAAACUGGGGAACUUGAGUGCAGAAGAGGAGAGUGGAAUUCCACGUGUAGCGGUGAAAUGCGUAGAGAUGUGGAGGAACACCAGUGGCGAAGGCGACUCUCUGGUCUGUAACUGACGCUGAGGAGCGAAAGCGUGGGGAGCGAACAGGAUUAGAUACCCUG